UUUAUAUCAAAACACAAAGGCACGAUAACACAAUUUACAGAAAGAAAGCUAAUGGCUAAUCUUUGCUGCUCCGCCAAAAAAUAUCCAGCAUAUUUUAACUUUUGAUCGAUUUCGUAAUUUAGUUUAUAAAUAUAUUCGAACGCGUACGGAAGUCAUAAGCGAGCACUAUACGAACAAGUGAAAAGAUGUAUUGAGAUGGAAAGUUACGGCGGAGCAACAGCGUCAGCUGCUCCCCAACAACUACCCGUACAAGAACAGCCCCAAAGAAAUCUCUAUGACGCAACGCUGCGAAACAGCAGUGGUAGCCAGUACGCAACUAAUAGUAGUGUUGCUGGCGGAGUGAUUCGGGGUGGCAGCAGCAGGUGCAAUAGCAGUGGUGAAAAUUCGCGUUGCGAAAGUGAUGAGGAAUAUCAAGGAAACCAGCCAAGGUCAGGGCCAUUGAACGCCACAACAGCUGUUAACAUAGAGGCGGCAAAUGAGGGGCCAAAUGUUUUUGCACCCACUUCAGCACAGAAUAUUGCAAGUAUUAAUAGUAGUGAGCUGCCCUCAAGUUCGAAUAAUUUGGAAGGUGCCUCGCCUAUGGCAUCAUACAAUGAGGAAAGAAUGCGUCGAAAAUUGCAGUUUUUCUUUAUGAAUCCGAUCGAAAAAUGGCAAGCUCGUCGCAAAUUCCCAUAUAAAUUCGUAGUGCAGGUGGUGAAGAUCGUUUUGGUGACAAUUCAGCUGUGCCUUUUCGCGCAUUCACGCUACAACCACAUCAACUACACCUGGGAUAACCGCAUCGCCUUUUCGCAUCUCUUCCUUCGCGGCUGGGACGCUUCACUUGAAGUCGAAUCCUAUCCACCCUCUGUUGGACCAUUCGCCCUCUACGAAAAGUCCGACUUCUAUAACACCAUCGACUAUGCGGUGCGUGGUUACGCCAACAUGAGUCGUGCAAUCGGCCCAUACGAUUACCCAACCGAAAACAAUGAGAUGGCGCCGCUACAUCUCUGCCUCUACAACUAUCGCGAGGGCACAAUUUUCGGUUUCAACGAGUCGUAUAUUUUCAAUCCGGACAUCACCGAGUUCUGUUUGUAUUUACCGCCCAACGUGACAACGAUGGGUGUGCAGGCAUACCUGAAGCAGAGCGGCGUAGAGUUGAACUUCGCAUCGCUGGUUAAGGCAACGUUGGUAUUCGCCAUCAAAACGGUAAAUUUCAAGGCCUAUGGUGGACCGCUAUCCGCACCCGAUUGCUUUAAAUUCGAUGUGACUAUAUUUUUCGACAAUCGCGAUCACGACGGCCAGAUGCUGCUGUCGCUCGAUGCGGAUGCUCAACGUUUGCGCUGCAAAGGCGAUGUUGAGUUCAUUUCCAGUGCAGAAUUUGAUGCGGCAUUGCGUAGCUUGUUGAAUAUUCUGGUGUUGCUAGUGUGUUUGCUGUCCUUCGCCUUAUGCUCGCGCGCGAUUUAUCGCGCCUAUUUGCUGCGCAUACAGACAGUCAACUUCUUCCGCAUGCAUUUCAACAAAGAUCUUAGCUUCGAGGGGCGUAUGGAGUUUGUGAAUUUUUGGUACAUAAUGAUCAUUAUCAACGAUUUACUACUUAUUAUUGGCUCAUCGCUGAAAGAACAAAUCGAGCGCAAAUAUCUUGUCGUCGAUCAAUGGGACACCUGCUCGCUCUUCCUGGGUAUUGGCAAUCUGCUAGUGUGGUUUGGCGUGCUGCGCUACCUCGGCUUCUUCAAAACUUAUAAUGUUGUUAUACUCACAUUGAAGAAGGCCGCACCAAAGAUACUGCGCUUCCUGCUUGCGGCGCUCCUUAUUUACGCCGGCUUCACCUUCUGCGGCUGGCUCAUACUGGGUCCGUAUCAUCUGAAAUUCCGCUCGCUUGCCACCACCUCUGAAUGCCUGUUUGCGCUGAUAAAUGGUGACGACAUGUUCGCCACCUUCACAACGCUCUCCUCCAAGGCCGAUUGGCUAUGGUGCUUCUGUCAAAUCUACUUAUACUCCUUUAUUUCGCUGUAUAUUUACGUCGUGCUGUCGCUCUUCAUCGCCGUAAUUAUGGAUGCCUACGAUACAAUAAAGGGCUACUAUCGCGAUGGCUUCCCCAUUUCGGAUCUCAGAGCGUUUGUGGGUACGCGCAACGAGGAGGAUCUCACAUCAGGUGUGUUCAUGAACAGCAUGGAUGACUUUGAUGGAAAUGGUAUUUUGGAUGUACUGCGCCAAGUGUUUUGCUGCGGGCGUUGUCGGGUAAACAGUGGCGGCACUGGUGGCAGCAACGGGCCCUCAGGGUACACCAGUCUCACGAGUAUUAUCAAGUGAUUGAAUGUUGAUGAUGUAAAAUGAAUUGACUCUGUACUAAUGAAUGUGACAAACGAACUGAGGACGAGUUGAUGCUUGGAAUGCGCUGUGACGCCGCCGCUGCUGCUGAGCUGUCAUAUUUGCAAGCAUUGUCGAUGGCAUGCAUUAGCUGAUUUGUGUAUUAUUAUUUCUUUUUAAAAAGCUUAUAAACUGUAUUGACAUUAAAUACCUCUAUUGUAUCCGACAAUUGGUAGCAGCUUCUGGAAAUAAUUACCCUUGCCUGGAUGAGGGUUUUUGAAAAUCAAGAAGGCCGUUUUUAACUAAAAAAAUUUUUAUUUGUAAAACCAAAUUUGACAUGCUAAUGUGCGCAAAAAAGUAAUCAUUAAAAAGAACUGGACGCAAUUUUCUAAUACAAAUUGAAGUAGAUUAGAUUAGAUUAGAUGUAUGAUUAAUGAGGUUUGCACUUCAUUCUCAUGUUCUUUUGUGCCCUCUACUCAUCACAGUACCUCAUCCGAGUCCGGCUGUAGUUGGCCAAUAUGUCGCAACCCUCUCCGUUCUAUAGCGCUGCAUUCCACGAGAAGUAACAUUGGAGUCUCCUGGGAAUGGUUGCAGAAACGGCAAGAGUCGUGCAUGUCCAGAGAGUGGCUCUCGAUGCAUAAGCGACCGAUCCAUACGUUAUCAUUGGUCUUACUAUCAUGAUGUAUAUCCUCCUCAGGAUUCUUGGGCUACACCCAGGAUUUUAUGCAGAUCGCCUAAAGUAUAAUGAGUACUUUGCAAUUCGUAUAUUAAGAAAGUGUGAACAAAAAUUCGCUGACAAUAACUAAACCCAGACUUCGAUGUAAACAUGUAAAUACGAUAUUAGAAUAUUAUUAAAUGUAGAAACCAAUAAUUGGAUGGAAUUCGUCGGGUAAAUUGUAUUUUUGAUAAAAUAAAAUAUUUUUAAAAUUUAAAAGCUUAGCGGUCAGGUAAAGUAAAUAAAGUAAAAUGUAGUCUACUCGUGACGUCGCUUAGAGAAAUGUAAAGAAGAGAAGGGAAAGCUUAGAAAUUAUUCCAAAGAUACUAAAGGUACAGCUGCGCUGCUCUGGAAUUCAUAAGAAUUACUGCUUUAAUCCAGCAAUAAAAAUUGUAAGUCAACCUCGCACUUCCCCAAAUAUUCACAAAUGAAUAGCAGUGCAGUUCGGUAAAAGUUUAGAUCUCAGCUGUUUGAAAUCUACUUUAGUUAGUGUAUUUGUUUUUAGUUAGUGAGACACAGUAAUUUGAAAAUUUAUGGUCUCUCUCUAUAUUUUGGCUUUUACGGAAGAAGACUUUCUUACGUAAGUGCGCGUUUGUAAAUCUCUCUCAAAAAAACAAAAAAAUGUUGCUAGCAACAUUUGUAUGGCAACAUUGUUGCACAGCUUAGCCCAGCAGCUCUGCGUGCAUACUCUAUGCCAGCGUCAUUGGUGGGGUCAGGAACAGUUGAAUAUUUGGAAUUGAAAUAACUGUUGGCAAGGAUUGCAAAAUUUUAAAUAUAUUUAUUUAUAAUUUUGAAUGUUUCUUCGCCAUAUUUUAAGCAUUUAAUUUUUAAAUUUUUUACUUCAUUUCUAACUUUCGCUCAUUCCAUUUAAACCAUUCUCUUCUCUAAUACAUGAAUUAAAAAAACAGCAACAAAGGUCACUACCACCAUUACCAGAAUGAACUUAAACUACACUCAUGCAAUUUAAAAAUGCAGUUAAUUAUGAAUGUCCAUGCAUACUUUUGUACGUACAGAUGUUUGUUAGCACUCCUCUUGCAAUUUAUUUAAUAUUUUCUGUUCUGAAAACUUAUACACAGUAUUUAAAUUAUUAAAAAAAUCAAGUUUUUAUAAAAUUGCUAUCCUAUCCUAUGUAUGUAUUUUCAAUGCGAUUUCUUAGCACAUAAAACUCAGCCAAAUACAUUCUUACUACUUCAUACUAAAGGGUUUUCCAAUAACAGGUGUUAUGAAUGAAUGGAUUGCGCUCUCGAGAGAUGAGUUAACGAUUUUUAUGGCCGCAAUUGAAUGGUUUUGAUCUGGAAAACGUUUAUUUUCAACAAGUCGGCGCUACGUGCCACACAAGCAACGAAACUAUUGAUCUUUUACGGGAAAAGUUUCCGGACCGUGUUAUCUCUCGAAGAGGUGAUCACAAUUGGCCACCGAGAUCUUGUGAUUUAACACCUUGUGACUUUUUUCUUUGCGGCCACGGGAAAGAGAAGGUCUACGCCUACAGCCCUGUGUCGAUUCAAGACCUCAAAGACGGAAUUCGUGAGGCUAUCGAGGACAUAGGGCAGCCACUUUGCAAUUCGGUUAUGGAAAAUUUCAAGAAAAGGAUAUUGUCCUGUGGUGGUCAUUUGGCUGAUGUUAUUUUCCACUAUUAACGGCAUACCUUCCUCUUUAUAAUGAAAUAAACAUCGGAUCAUUUUUAUAUGCAAAAAUAGCAUUUUUCUUUGAAUAUCAAAAUAACACCUCUUAUUGGAAACCCCUUUAGUAUGUAUGUAACUGCAUAGUUCACAUAAGCGCCUAGUUUAGUUUGCUGCUUUGAGCAAAAAGCUUUUGCUACAGUUAUGUAAAACAAAAAACUAUAGAUAAAAAAAUUAAAUAAAUAAAUUCUUCGCUCCUAACUCAAAUGCACUUUUCCUUUUUUUUCUUUAUAUUUUCCCUCUCUUUUUUAUUUUCUUUCUUUUGACUUUGCAGUCGCGUUUAUGAGACGCGUGUCUGAUGAAUGUUUUUUGGUUAUGCAAUAAACAAAAAUCUAUCCACGGUCCAUUCAGGUGUAUGUAUGUAUAUAUAAACGCAUAGAUUUAAGUAUUAAUAAAUGUAAUUACACCGAAAAUGUAUGUUUGUACACUAAAUAAAGUUUCAUCAUGUGUAUGUAAAUAUAAAACACGAAUUCAU